UGUCAAGAACUCCAAUGACUCUACAUAAGCCUUAUCAUAUAGGGAGUGGGGCUGAGACUUGAAUUUCAAAACAGAACCAAAAAGACUUUAUGCAAUAUGCUACUCUCCCCUUCAAUAUGGACAAUCAUCGUCUCCAUCUUUCUUGGAGACAGCACAGCUAAGGAGGUCAUUCAACCACAACCAGCAACAUCUGGACAGGAGAGAGAAGCUGUGACUCUGAAUUGCAAGGGCAAGUGGCCAAGACAAGGUAGAGCAGAGUCCUCCAUCCUUACACAUCCAGGAAGGAGAGAUCAUCACACUGAUUUGUAGUUAUUCAGUGGGAACUUUUAAAGAUUUGGUAUGGUACAUGCGUAAUCCUGGAGAAGGUCCUGCAUUUUUGCUUUAUUUGUUUUCAGAAGGAGGUGAAAACAGAAAGGGAAGAAUAAAAGCAAUGCUGGAUAAGAAUAAAUGUCAUAAUAUAUGCCUAAAUAUAUCUGUGCUUAAUUGUACCUUCUUGGGGGGUGAGGAGCAAGGGUGAAAAAGAACAAAGUAAAAAGUGCACAGCUGAGAACAAAGGAAAACUUACAAAGAAGCAAAGAAAAG